UACGUAGGUGGCAAGCGUUAUCCGGAUUUAUUGGGCGUAAAGGGAACGCAGGCGGUCUUUUAAGUCUGAUGUGAAAGCCUUCGGCUUAACCGGAGUAGUGCAUUGGAAACUGGGAGACUUGAGUGCAGAAGAGGAGAGUGGAACUCCAUGUGUAGCGGUGAAAUGCGUAGAUAUAUGGAAGAACACCAGUGGCGAAAGCGGCUCUCUGGUCUGUAACUGACGUUGAGGCUCGAAAGCGUGGGGAGCAAACAGG
rnacentral:rRNA from 1 species